AGAGUUUGAUCCUGGCUCAGGACGAACGCUGGCGGCGUGCUUAACACAUGCAAGUCGAACGAUGAAGCCUAGCUUGCUAGGUGGAUUAGUGGCGAACGGGUGAGUAAUACGUGAGUAACCUACCUUUAACUCUGGGAUAAGCCUGGGAAACUGGGUCUAAUACCGGAUACGACCAAUCUCCGCAUGGGGUGUUGGUGGAAAGCGUUAUGUAGUGGUUAUAGAUGGGCUCACGGCCUAUCAGCUUGUUGGUGAGGUAACGGCUCACCAAGGCGACGACGGGUAGCCGGCCUGAGAGGGUGACCGGCCACACUGGGACUGAGACACGGCCCAGACUCCUACGGGAGGCAGCAGUGGGGAAUAUUGCACAAUGGGCGCAAGCCUGAUGCAGCGACGCCGCGUGAGGGAUGACGGCCUUCGGGUUGUAAACCUCUGUUAGCAGGGAAGAAGAGAAAUUGACGGUACCUGCAGAGAAAGCGCCGGCUAACUACGUGCCAGCAGCCGCGGUAAUACGUAGGGCGCGAGCGUUGUCCGGAAUUAUUGGGCGUAAAGAGCUUGUAGGCGGUUUGUCGCGUCUGCUGUGAAAGGCCGGGGCUUAACCCCGUGUAUUGCAGUGGGUACGGGCAGACUAGAGUGCAGUAGGGGAGACUGGAACUCCUGGUGUAGCGGUGGAAUGCGCAGAUAUCAGGAAGAACACCGAUGGCGAAGGCAGGUCUCUGGGCUGUAACUGACGCUGAGAAGCGAAAGCAUGGGGAGCGAACAGGAUUAGAUACCCUGGUAGUCCAUGCCGUAAACGUUGGGCACUAGGUGUG
rnacentral:rRNA from 1 species